CGUCUUGGUUAUUGAUGUUGGAUGCUUGCAUUUAACUGAUUUAACAUUGAGACGAGUGGCGAACUGGUGAGUAACACGUGGGUAACCUGCCCUUGAAGUAGGGGAUAACACUUGGAAACAGGUGCUAAUACCGUAUAACAACCAAAACCACCUGGUUUUGGUUUAAAAGAUGGCUUCGGCUAUCACUUUAGGAUGGACCCGCGGCGUAUUAGCUUGUUGGUAAGGUAACGGCCUACCAAGGCAAUGAUACGUAGCCGACCUGAGAGGGUAAUCGGCCACAUUGGGACUGAGACACGGCCCAAACUCCUACGGGAGGCAGCAGUAGGGAAUCUUCCACAAUGGACGAAAGUCUGAUGGAGCAACGCCGCGUGAGUGAUGAAGGGUUUCGGCUCGUAAAACUCUGUUGUUGGAGAAGAACAGGUGUGAGAGUAACUGUUCACAUCUUGACGGUAUCCAACCAGAAAGCCACGGCUAACUACGUGCCAGCAGCCGCGGUAAUACGUAGGUGGCAAGCGUUGUCCGGAUUUAUUGGGCGUAAAGCGAGCGCAGGCGGUUUCUUAGGUCUGAUGUGAAAGCCUUCGGCUUAACCGGAGAAGUGCAUCGGAAACCAGGAGACUUGAGUGCAGAAGAGGACAGUGGAACUCCAUGUGUAGCGGUGAAAUGCGUAGAUAUAUGGAAGAACACCAGUGGCGAAGGCGGCUGUCUGGUCUGUAACUGACGCUGAGGCUCGAAAGCAUGGGUAGCGAACAGGAUUAGAUACCCUGGUAGUCCAUGCCGUAAACGAUGAGUGCUAAGUGUUGGAGGGUUUCCGCCCUUCAGUGCUGCAGCUAACGCAUUAAGCACUCCGCCUGGGAGUACGACCGCAAGGUUGAAACUCAA
rnacentral:rRNA from 1 species